rnacentral:lncRNA from 1 species
UAUUUUGGCCAGGCUGGUCUCGAACUCCUGACCUCAAGCGAUCAGCCCGCCUCGGCUUCCCAAAGUGCUGGGUUACAAGUAUGAGCUACCGCUCCUGGCCACUUUUGUCCAUUUCUAAUGUAUUCUUUUGCAUUUGAAGAUUAUUCUACUUGAGAAUCAAGACAAAGCAUAUCUGGUUCUAAAUUGUUUUACUAUCCUCCCAAAAGAAAAGCAUCUGCUACUCUCAGCAUUCCUGGCCAGUGUGAGCUCUCUGGGAGAUUCAGCAUCCCUCACACUCCUAAAGUCUGGCCACAGUUCUACACGCUCUUCCCUUCUCUACCUGUCACUCUGAAGUCAAAUCGGCCACUACCCACUUUCUUCCAUGAGUAUCCAUUGCAAUCACAAUGUAAGAAUUACGUUUCUGAAUUUCUGGCCCCAUGGCAUGGUCUUCCUUUCUGAGUAUGAUGCCACAUAUUGUGCUACCUUCUUAGUUUCUGGAAACUUCAUCUUUCUGAACUUUGGGCACAUAUUUCACUGUGUUCAGUCUGAUUCUCAAAGGCCCUAUUCAACACCAGCUACCAAAAUUACACUCCUCCCUCUAUUCCUUGUUGAGCUACUGCCCCCGUAGAAUCCCCCUCCUUUAUACCCAAAGCCCAACACACUCAAUCCUAGUCAACUUUCCUGUGAACUCCUGCAACAAGCUACACAUACUUCAGUCACAGGACAUUUUCAUUAUGCUUUCUAUAAUACAGUUAUUAGUUCACUCAACACACAGUUCUCAAGGGCCUCGUGCUUCUGGUGUGGUGCUAGGCUCCAGGAAUCCACAACCAAGUGGAUCAGGCACUUUGGAAUCUAGAAGAAAAGUGACUGACUCUGCCUAAAGCAAGUGGAGAGCAGCUUCUGGAGAAGGUGACAUUUGAGCUGCCUCUUCAAGAAAAAUAACUCUACGAGGCACAUGGAAAGCACUGGCGAGGCACAAAGAGCGAAAGAACAGCGUAUACUUGGGAAACACAGAAGCGUCCCGAGAUGCUGUAGGCAAAUGAGAGGGAAGUUGAGGCAAGAUGGCUGCACAGCAUUUGAAGCAAGAUUAUAAGGGCCUGUCUAGGAUGUUGAAGAGUUAGAUUUAAUCAACAGGCAGUGGUAAGAGUCUGGAAAGGCAGUGGCAGAAGCUGGUCUUCGUAUUAUGAUCAGGCUCAGUGGGUCACCACCUAUCCAUUUUUAUUUUAUUUAUUUUAUUUUUGUCAUUUCUUUGUUUACCUAUCCUUUUUUAAAUGGCAGUCCCAAAUGAUGCAAAAGAAGCUUCCACAUGAGCGAAUAAUGGAUUCUUAUUUACAUAAGAACAGAAACAAGUUAUUGCUGCUGCCUGUUCUGCAAAAAUAUACUUUUUACAUCCUAAAAUUAAAUGAGAAUUAGAAGAGCCAUAACAAGGGAAAACAAGGUGCCUGAGAUCUGAAGGCAGAAGGAAGAUUCAAAUAGAAAGAAUAAUGGCCCAUUCAACAGCUGACUCCUACAGACAUUCUGACUAAGAUGCCUGUUGCAAUUCCCCUGAGCAACUUAAUAACUGUGUUUUCAAGGUUAAACUCAAGAACCAAUCAGUUAUCUGUAAAUGAAUAUCCAACUUUUCUGAAAGGAAAAAGAACGAAUCAAUCAUCUCUUUCUACUCCCUGUGUUAAGUUCAUCUCAGUCAGAGAAAUCACUGUCUGAGGGCUUGAAUCUCCUGGAAAACUGUAAGCUACCUGGAAGCAGAGAUGCAUAUUAUUUAUUUUUGUAUCGCAUAUAAUUAGUACACGGAGAAGGUCAAUGAAUAGGAGAAGAUGAAGAAAAUUAUUUCCUCUUUAGGAUAUACAAAAGCAUUGAAAAAAUAAAGCAUUCUAAAGCGCUGCUUACUAAUCAAGAUGAACAGAAUGCAUAGGAUAUAAAGCAUACUGCAUAUAAAGCAAUCUCCCCUCCUUGACAUAUACAUGAAUGGGCAUGGGUGUCUAUGUCUUAUGAACAUGUAAUUUAUUAGGCAGUAUGCAAAGGGGUUACAUUCUUAUUGGCAGAAGAAUAGACAUCCUGGGAGAAUACAAUAAUCCAAAAUUAGACUGAUUUAAAAAAUUAAUGUAUGACUGCACAUGACAUCAAAACAUUCUCAGGUAUAUUAAAGAGUUAACCAUUAAAAAUAGGAACAUGACAAUAAGCAACUGAAUUCUCAAAAAUUCUGUGAAGAGAAAGUAACUUUAAAAACAAAUCACACAUGCAAAAAAAUAUUUGAUAUAAAAAUGUAACAUUUCUGCUUGUAAAAAAAAACCUUUCAUCAGAAACAAAAUUUUCAAUAUUAUAACAAAGACAAGGACUUCAAUAACUUAACUUUUUAAGGUGGAUUAAAAGACAGAUGUUAUUUCCAUUCUGUGAUUACAUCUGUUAAGAGCUGACAACAAAGAAAUGUCAAAAAAGAAACUACAGAUUAUUUAACAUAUGUGAAGGUCAGCUUUUACUUGUAUCUGCAAAGCCAUCAUUAGGGUUCUUUUUCAAUAAAAUAGAAAACUAUUAAGUGGUGAGUUUUGCUGUGUUCAGUGAAAAGCUUACUGUUUUCACUGCCUGCCAGCCCUUAUCAUUUCCCAUUGUAAUGGUUAUCACAGUGAGUUUCGUUGGUGGUAGCUUUUUUUUUUUUUUUUUUUUUUUGGCUAAAUUGGCAAAUCAAAAAUAUAG